GAUGGCGAAGGCAGAUCUCUGGCCGUAACUGACGCUGAGGAGCGAAAGGGUGGGGAGCAAACAGGCUUAGAUACCCUGGUAGUCCACCCCGUAAACGUUGGGAACUAGUUGUGGGGUCCAUUCCACGGAUUCCGUGACGCAGCUAACGCAUUAAGUUCCCCGCCUGGGGAGUACGGCCGCAAGGCUAAAACUCAAAGGAAUUGACGGGGACCCGCACAAGCGGCGGAGCAUGCGGAUUAAUUCGAUGCAACGCGAAGAACCUUACCAAGGCUUGACAUAUACGAGAACGGGCCAGAAAUGGUCAACUCUUUGGACACUCGUAAACAGGUGGUGCAUGGUUGUCGUCAGCUCGUGUCGUGAGAUGUUGGGUUAAGUCCCGCAACGAGCGCAACCCUCGUUCUAUGUUGCCAGCACGUAAUGGUGGGAACUCAUGGGAUACUGCCGGGGUCAACUCGGAGGAAGGUGGGGAUGACGUCAAAUCAUCAUGCCCCUUAUGUCUUGGGCUUCACGCAUGCUACAAUGGCCGGUACAAAGGGCUGCAAUACCGUGAGGUGGAGCGAAUCCCAAAAAGCCGGUCCCAGUUCGGAUUGAGGUCUGCAACUCGACCUCAUGAAGUCGGAGUCGCUAGUAAUCGCAGAUCAGCAACGCUGCGGUGAAUACGUUCCCGGGUCUUGUACACACCGCCCGUCAAGUCA
rnacentral:rRNA from 1 species